rnacentral:tRNA from 1 species
AGCUUCGUGGUGUAUGCGAGAAAACAUUGGAGUUUAGAAAUAUCCGCUGUUGCGGUUUUACAGUACCGCUGCACCGGAUCCCAAAACGACACAGGAAGUAUAGGGGCAAUGCAAUCUCCAUGUGCAAUUCGUGGCGGACCUU